GCAUCUUCAGCGCCUAUCGUGAUGGCGUAUCUGGCACCAGAGGAGUUAGUCUCUUCUAUGAGCGUACCAUAGAGACCCUCUGAGCCCCUCCCCUCCCUCUCUCCCAUGCUUUCUUGAGCCCUCGCAGCCAGGCGCCUGUCCCACCACUCCACCUUGAGGAGGCCCUUUACCCGGGAAAGGAAAGGAGCCAUCAGCCACCAUCAUGAUUUGGAAGGAGAAGGGAAAGAAAGAGUGGAACCACCCUGCCUAAGAAGGCAGGGCGUAUUUAAGCAUAUUGUGUUGAGUGGAACAGUAAGAAGCCCCAAACUGGGGGAGAAGAGGCCUAGGAGAGAAGAAUCCCGAGAAGGGGACAGAAGCCGAAAUGAAUGGCAGGAAGCAAGACUGGCCAAUGGGCAACUUACCUGGAGUCAGGAAGCAAUUUUUAAGACAGUCAUCUUGAUAGAGCAACAUCGCACUGUCAUCUUCAUUGUCCUGUAAUGCCACGCCAUGACCCCAAGCAUGCAAACAAGCAUCGAUCGGCAGCCCAAUGUAAGUGGAACUUAUGGGAAUGGACAGACGCAGGACCAGAGCAGGGUGAGAGAGCUCGGAAAGACGGGAACAAGGCGAAGCCAGCUGCAUUCUGUGACCCUGUGAAAAAGUACUUUUGUUAAUGAGCAAAAAGACAUGUCAAUGAGAAACAUUUUUCUCUAAAUAUAAACUUCCAGCAACUUUUCUGUUGAAAUCAUUUCAGUAAGAACAGAAUAGCCCACUCCUACCUUGGGGAGCCGAGCCGUCUUGGACACAGAGAAGGAGCCCGGAUUUGCAACCCAGCUGCAGAGCUUCAGAUAAGGGGUUUUUGGAUGCUACAUUCUCCUGACCCUAUAGCUUCCAAGGAAACAGGACUCAGUCUGCCCCUCGGCCCAGGCUGGUGUUAAUUCCUUUAUACACAGCGCUAUUUGCUUUGAGGGCAUUAAAACACAGCUUCAUUUGAAUUUUAGCUGAAUCCCACCAUUUUCCCAAGUCCUGUAACAAGCUGGUGGCUUCCUGCGUCCGAUGAAGCACUCCCUGGUCCCCGGAGCACUGUCCCAUGCUGUAACAAGUCAGUACACCUCCUUGUGGACCACACAUUUGUCCCUGGGGAUCUCUGCCUUCCCUAUUUGAGACAUUUCAGGGAAGUGAUCCCUGGACGCAUGUGGGAAUAUUGUGGAAGCCGGACCACAGGUCUGCUUCUUGUGAAGGGUUCUCCGACUCGGUUGACGGCAACUCUGUUCUUCCAGUUGAAAAUCCUGGAGACCUCCUUGAUCCUGUCUCUCCUGCCUUGCAUCUAAAGGAGUAAAGCUUAUUGGCUCUUCCUUCAAAACCCCAUCACCUGCCACCUUCACCUGUCCAUCCUGAUCCCUUCAACUAUCACCACUUGCCUUGGUUAUUGAAACUGCAUCCUAACUGGGCUUCCUGCCUCCCCCAUCAAUCCCCUACAACAGCAGGCUCCACUCAGCAGCCAGGAAAAGCCUUUUCAUAUGCAAAUCUGGCUGCCCCCCUCCUCCCCUCAAAACCCUCCAAUGAUGCCCACCUCACCAAAAUCUUUACAAUAGCUUACAAGGUCCUAUACAAUCUGGCUCUGGUUACCUCUCUGAAUUUCUCUCGCACCCUCUCCUUUUCAUUACUCCACAGCAGCCACACUAGCUUCUUGGCUAUUCCUUGAAAUACCAACGGUGCUCUCACCUCAGGGCCUUUGCAUGUGCUGUUUCUUCUGCCUGGAGCACUCUUCCUCUACAUUUCCACAUGGCUCACUCCCUCACUUCCUUCAAGUCUACACCUGAGUGUCACUUUCUUGGAGAUGCCCCCUGACCACUGCAUGUGUGCACAUGCACAAACACACAUGCACGCACAUAAAUGGCAAAUACUUCCAAUCCCACCACACCCUGUCUCCCACACUCAACUUUAUUUCCCCCAUAUCAUCUGUUGCCAUUGGACUCACAUCAUAUUGACCCUUCUGUGUGUUUAUUUCCUAUCCCUGCCACUAGAAAAUAGGUUCCGCUUGAUCAGGAGCUUACUUUAGUCUGUUCACUACUGUGUCUCCAGCAUGUAGAACAAAGUUGGCAUAAAGUAGAUAUUCAAUUAAUAUUUUUAAUUGAACUGUAUGAAUGAAAUCAAAGGUUUUAAUAGGUUUUAAUUAAUUCCCAUGCACUCCUGAGCAGUAGAGACAAUAUCAUUUUUCCUUUUGAUCACAUGAAACAAACAAUAGAAAAAGAGUAAGUGACUUUCUCCCAGCCAUAUCAGGGCCAGGAACUUUUCACCUCCUGCUUGUAUAGAAAAGCAGAGGUCUCUGAAGAACCCCCAGAGGUCAUGGGCUCAGAAGUCUUUGUUCACACACACACACACACACACACACCCUUGCAUACUGUCUUGCAGAAGAAGACCUCACCAAAGGAGGUAGGCAGUCGAUCACAGGUCACGGUGAAUGGCAGCUGUAAUUCCUGCUAUUUUAAGAACUCUAAAUCUACUUGCCCAAUGACCACAAAGAGCUAUGCUUAGUGUCUUCACACAGUGGCUCUCAAGGAGUGGGCCCAGGUCAGCAGCAGCAGUAUCUCCUGGCAACUUGUUGGCAAUGCGAAUUCUUGUGCCCACACCACAGCCACUGAAUCAGCAGUUUGGGUGGACGGGGCCCAGCACGCUCUAUUUUACCAGGCCCGUCAGGUGAUGGUUGCAUUAAAGUUUGAGAAUCGCUACCUAGUAGAUAAACAAGAGCACAUAAGAACAGAAAGUGUGACAAACUGGUAAAAUUAAGUGCCAUGUUACGUCUAAUAUUGAGUUCUGACUUGAGUGUAUCAGGAUGUUUAAAACUGAAAUAACACCGGGGGUGGGGGUAACUGGCUCUCUCAGGAGAGAGGAAAUCCUAUUGCUUUCCCAUCACUCAUCUCUGACUCCCACCCAGCUGCUGCUGUCAAGCUGGUGUGAAAUGAAUUAACAGUGUCACCAGCUUCCCAAGAAACGGGUGUCUCUACCGUAAUCCCAGAAACCAUAUUACCACCUGCACUAAUUGGGCUGUCCUUGUCAGGCCCUUUAAGAAUCACAGAGACU
rnacentral:lncRNA from 1 species